AGCCGUCAGCUGCUGCUGGAGAACGUGCAGAAGAAGGAUGCUGGAGAAUAUACCUGUGAAAUUGGAAAUGAAAAGCUCGUCUUUAAGAUUUGUGUGGAAGACAUUCAAGCUGCCUUCUCCAACAAGGACUCUUAUCAGAAGGAAGUGAAGGUUUCAGCCUCCCAGAAAGCCACACUGAGCUGUGAAGUUUCUGACCCCAAGACUGAGGUGAAAUGGUUCAAGGAUGGCAAGCAGUU